rnacentral:rRNA from 1 species
UACGAAGGGGGCUAGCGUUGCUCGGAAUCACUGGGCGUAAAGCGCACGUAGGCGGCUUUCUAAGUCAGGGGUGAAAUCCUGGAGCUCAACUCCAGAACUGCCUUUGAUACUGGAGAGCUGAGUCCGGGAGAGGUGAGUGGAACUCCGAGUGUAGAGGUGAAAUUCGUAGAUAUUCGGAAGAACACCGAAGUGGCGAAGGCGGACUCACUGGCCCGGCUACGUGGACGCUGACGGUGCGAAAGCGAUGGGGAGCAAACAGGG